rnacentral:misc_RNA from 1 species
GAAAUGCGAUAAGUAGUGUGAAUUGCAGAAUUCAGUGAAUCAUCGAAUCUUUGAACGCACAUUGCGCCCUUUGGUAUUCCUUAGGGCAUGCCUGUUCGAGCGUCAUCUAAACCUUCAAGCCCUGCUUGGUGUUGGGUGCCUGUCCCGCCUCCGCGCGCGGACUCACCUCAAAUCCAUUGGCGGCCCCCGCGUCGGCCACGAGCGCAGCAGAAACGCGAACUCGUGACCCCGUCCGGGCGGCUCCCAGAAGCUACACCCACCCAGUUUGACCUCGGAUCAGGUAGGGAUACCCGCUGAACUUAAGC